rnacentral:rRNA from 1 species
GACGAACGCUGGCGGCGUGCUUAACACAUGCAAGUCGAACGGGCCCGCUCUCUUUUUUGGGGGUGGGUUGAGAGGCGAACGGGUGAGUAUCACGUGAGUAACCUGCCCCCUGCUCCUGGAUAACUGCUUGAAAGGGCGGCUAAUACGGGGUGUGCCGGCUGGUCCGCAUGGGCCUGGUCGGGAUAGUUUCAUCUUCGGGUGUUUCGGUGGGGGAUGGGCUCGCGGCCUAUCAGCUUGUUGGUGGGGUGAUGGCCCACCAAGGCGGUGACGGGUAGCCGGCCUGAGAGGGUGGGCGGCCACACUGGGACUGAGACACGGCCCAGACUCCUGCGGGAGGCAGCAGUGGGGGGUAUUGCACAAGGGGCGGAAGCCUGAUGCAGCGACGUCGCGUGAGGGAUGGAGGCCUUCGGGUUGUGAACCUCUUUCUCCGGUGGUGAAGGCCCUGUCCGUUGCGGCGGGGUUGACGGUAGCCGGGUAUGAAGCGCCGGCUAACUACGUG